GCCUUCAAAAUCAAACAUCAAAAUUGAAAAUACUCAGUGUACUGUGAUUUAACAUUUUAUAAGUACUCAUCGCCUUAAAAUUAGUUUUCAAGUUUCAGUUCUAUACUUUGAUGUGCAUCAUUAAUCAUACUAGUUAAUGGCUGAUUUUUUCAAGUGAUGUUCAAAUUUUAAUGUAGUUCGAUGUUUUAAUAUAAGUUGCAACACUAUAUUAAAGUAAUGUUAAGUUUUGGAAUCAAUAUGAUAUGAGCGACUAUGAAUGCUGGAUGGCUCACUUUAUUAGGCUAAAUGAAUUGGAACUUACUUCUAAAAAAAUAGAAAUUAUACACUGGGUAUAUGUUAAGCAGAAGUCGUCCGUUUCCUAAAAAAUGUAUUCUUCUUUAAAAAAAUGUCCUCGAAAAUAUGCAGUUUCCUUCUUUUUAAUUCGAAAAAAGAAAAAAAAUGUAUUUCCAUUCAUUGAAUUUAAGCAUGCAAAUUACGAAGGGCUUGUAUUUUAUUUUCUAAGAGAAAAAUGGACCCAAAAUAUUUAUCGUAGUAGACCCAAACCCCGCUUGGAUGACAACAAUAGAAUAAAGAAGCUACCAUAUCAGUCUAUAUUUAUUAUGUGGUCCUUGACGUAUAGUUAAAAUGAACAGAUAAUAUACAUAUCUUACAUUAAUAAAACAAUUGUUUGAACUGA
rnacentral:lncRNA from 1 species